rfam:Gossypium hirsutum cultivar TM-1 unplaced genomic scaffold scaffold1931.1, whole genome shotgun sequence
UGUUAAAAAGUUCAUUCAUUUUUACUAUUAAAAAUUGGCAUGCUGACAAAAUAACCAAACAAUGACAUUAAUGUGUCAUGUGUACCUCACGCUGACAUAUAGGGAUUAGUUUUUAAGAGUAAAAAUGGAUAAAUUUUUUAACA